rnacentral:rRNA from 1 species
GAUGAACGCUGGCGGCGUGCCUAAUACAUGCAAGUCGAGCGAACAGACGAGGAGCUUGCUCCUCUGCCGUUAGCGGCGGACGGGUGAGUAACACGUGGAUAACCUACCUUUAAGACUGGGAUAACUUCGGGAAACCGGAGCUAAUACCGGAUAAUAUUUUGAACCGCAUGGUUCAUUAGUUAAAGACGGUUUUGCUGUCGUUUCUAGAUGGAUCCGCGCCGCAUUAGCUAGAUGGUAAGGUAACGGCUUACCAAGGCAACGAUGCUUAGCCGACCUGAGAGGGUGAGCGGCCACACUGGAACUGAGACACGGUCCCGACUCCGACGGGAGGCAGCAGUAGGGAAUCGUAAGCAAUGGGCGAAAGCCUGAGGGAGCAACGCCGCUUGAGUGAUGAAGGUCUUCGGAUCGUAAAACUUUAUUAUUAGGGAAGAACAAAGGAGUAAGCAACUAGGCACACCUUGACGGUACCUAAUCAGAAAGCCCCGGCUAACUACGUG